UACGAAGGGGGCUAGCGUUGUUCGGAAUUACUGGGCGUAAAGCGUAUGCAGGCGGAUCGUUAAGUCGGGGGUGAAAUCCCGAGGCUCAACCUCGGAACUGCCUUCGAUACUGGCGAUCUUCGAGUCCGGGAGAGGUGAGUGGAACUCCGAGUGUAGAGGUGAAAUUCGUAGAUAUUCGAAAGAACACCAGUGGCGAAGGCGGCUCACUGGCCCGGUACUGACGCUGAGAUACGAAAGCGUGGGGAGCAAACAGG
rnacentral:rRNA from 1 species